UGUAAUCAGAUUGUACAAUUUUCAAAAAAAAGAAAUAAAAAAUAGAUUUUCAAAAUUGUGUAAUUACAUUUAACGUGUUCAGCAAUAUUUUAAAUUGUCGUUUGUAAUGUUCCAGCUGAUACCAUACGAUGAACAAAUUUUCCUUAUUGCUCGCAGGUACAAGCUUAAGGUGGAUGCAAGUAGAGAAUCUAUAGAAUUGUUGGAUUUUCCCAAAAGUUAUUUUUUCAUAAUGCAUCGAAUACUGAUAUUUAUGUGUAUGCACGGCCUGAUGAAGAGUCUGUAUAUCUUUACGUGCCAUUAUUGCAGUUCAGUUACCAAGCUGCCGACUUUGUGGCAUAAUAAUCGAUUUUUGAUACUCCCCCCCGAGGUAACUCGACAAUUGCGUUGUGGGUUUGGUUUCUUACACAUAAAUGCUUGGUUAAGUUUGACCUAUGCUGCAAUUGCCUUCUCGCCCGCACUUAUGAUACCCUGGUUGAUAUAUCAUUACGGUUUCCUCAGUUUACGCCUGCUGAAGUUCUCCGUCAAAGUCGUGGGAAAAAGAGUGCAGGGUGAGGGCAUGCAGACGUCUAUUAAACUGAUGGGCUUGUCGCUGAAAAUCGCCUUUGUCAUUCUAUGCAAAAGAAACUAUGAAGCAAUACUCAAGUCGAUGGCGAUAUAGAAUUGUAUUUCAUCUAUUGGUCAUUGGCAAGGUGUAUUCGAAUUUUUAAAUGUACGGGCUAUUUAUAGCAAUAAAAAAAACGGAGUGUAAAACACACAAA